rnacentral:rRNA from 1 species
UGGUAGUCCACGCUGUAAACGAUGUCGAUUUGAAGGUUGUUCCCUUGAGGAGUGGCUUUCGGAGCUAACGCGUUAAAUCGACCGCCUGGGGAGUACGGCCGCAAGGUUAAAACUCAAAUGAAUUGACGGGGGCCCGCACAAGCGGUGGAGCAUGUGGUUUAAUUCGAUGCAACGCGAAGAACCUUACCUACUCUUGACAUCCAGAGAACUUAGCAGAGAUGCUUUGGUGCCUUCGGGAACUCUGAGACAGGUGCUGCAUGGCUGUCGUCAGCUCGUGUUGUGAAAUGUUGGGUUAAGUCCCGCAACGAGCGCAACCCUUAUCCUUUGUUGCCAGCGAUUCGGUCGGGAACUCAAAGGAGACUGCCGGUGACAAACCGGAGGAAGGUGGGGAUGACGUCAAGUCAUCAUGGCCCUUACGAGUAGGGCUACACACGUGCUACAAUGGCGUAUACAAAGAGAAGCGACCUCGCGAGAGCAAGCGGAACUCAUAAAGUACGUCGUAGUCCGGAUUGGAGUCUGCAACUCGACUCCAUGAAGUCGGAAUCGCUAGUAAUCGUAGAUCAGAAUGCUACGGUGAAUACGUUCCCGGGCCUUGUACACACCGCCCGUCACACCAUGGGAGUGGGUUGCAAAAGAAGUAGGUAGCUUAACCUUCGGGAGGGCGCUUACCACUUUGUGAUUCAUGACUGGGGUGAAGUCGUA